UACGGAGGGUGCAAGCAUUAAUCGGAUUUAUUGGGCGUAAAGGGCGCGUAGGCGGUAGUGAAAGUCAGAUGUGAAAUCCCGGGGCUCAACCCCGGAACAGCAUUUGAAACUCCAUUUCUAGAGGGUAGGCGGAGAAAACGGAAUUCCACAAGUAGCGGUGGAAUGCGUAGAUAUCGCUUGGAACGCCGAAGGUGAAAACAGGGCGCUGGGGACGCGCCGACGCUGAGACACGAAAGCCAGGGGAGCAAACGGG
rnacentral:rRNA from 1 species